CAUCAUUUGGGUUCUCAAGUGCACAGGCUGUUGCACACCCUGCCCCAGUUGUGAACCUUGCUGCGCAACCUGUUGAUUAGAAACUUGUGCCACAGGGAGAACCUGCUGCUGUGGCAUUAGUUGUCCAUGCUGCUGAGGCAACGGGCUGCUCUGUUGCCCCUGCUGUUGUGUUGCUUGAGCCUGUUGAGGUAAUUGACUGCUCUGUUGCCCCUGCUGUAAUGUAGUUUGAGCCACCAACCCACUUGGUUGUACUGAAUGAGCCAUUGGUAUCUGAGCCAACUUUGGUGUAGAAGUAGGAGGUGGACCAGGAGGCAAAGGUGGAGGCAAAGAGGCUGGCUUUUCAUACUGUGUAACAUUGGUUUCAGGAUUCCAAUAGUAUAAAAGUCCAGUACUUCCAUCAAUCAGUCCCAUCCAAGGUUUAGGAAGAGUAGGGUCCUCUGGAGCAUAACGAGGCCCAAGGGAAACUGAAGCUGGCUCUGCUGUUGCCAUAAAUGAUAUUUAUCUAACUCAAAAUGCUCUAGGUUGAAGAAUAUCACAGAGAAAUCAAAUCAAGUUGAUGUAGACUCACGAGCCGUCGACGUUCACGGGUGGUUGAUUGAGCUUCCCCUCCGUCCGCAGAUUACAGAACUUACCACGAUGUGCCGGAAACCAACUAAUUUUGAACAGAGGACAGUGAGAAGUUUCAGCCCUAUGCUUCUCCGAUCCCCUACUAUUAUGUAAAGGAUGCUAGACGUUGAGCGGCACGUUACAAACUCUAGGGUUUUCACCUUUUUGGAAGUUUUCCGGAGAAAUCACGUCACCGGAGGUAUAUCGAGACCGGAGUCCGUGACUGAUCGUUUCAACAGCUACAGGUAACCGGAGAUUCGCCGAUGCCGCUUCCCCUUCUCUCUCUCUCUCUCUCUCC
rnacentral:misc_RNA from 1 species